GUGCUGAAGUUUGGGCGGAUGGCAAGGAGCCCGCUCCGCUAGAGGACGGAACAGCCCAGCCUUGAGCACACUCGGACUCGGACCCGGGGACGGUCGCCCACAUCCCAGGCCACCUGCCAGUCGGAUUCUGAAGCAGCUGACAUGAGAAAACGGCAGCAGUCACAAAAUGAAGGCACGCAGGCUGUGUCUCAAGCGCCCGGAAACCAAAGGCCCAACAACACCUGUUGCUUCUGCUGGUGCUGCUGCUGCAGCUGCUCCUGCCUCACUGUCAGGAAUGAAGAAAGAGGAGACUCUUCGGGGAGACCCCCACACACCACCAAAAUGGAGAGCAUCCAGGUCCUAGAGGAAUGCCAAAACCCCACUGCAGAUGAAGUCUUGUCCUGGUCUCAGAAUUUUGACAAGAUGAUGAAGGCUCCUGCAGGAAGAAACCUUUUCCGAGAGUUCCUCCGAACAGAAUACAGCGAGGAGAACCUACUCUUCUGGCUGGCCUGUGAAGACUUAAAGAAGGAGCAGAACAAGAAAG
rnacentral:lncRNA from 1 species